AAUUUCGAAAUUCCAGCACGGCGGCUCCGCCGUGCUCCGGCGACGGCGGCUCCGCUGUGCGGCGGUGAUCCGCCUCGAAUUGACUGUUUUCGGCCGAAUUCAGUCAAACUUGCAUCGGUUCCUGUGAGAAAACAUAUUUAGGGCCCUCGGUGGGCCUAAAAACACAAAAAAUCGAAACUUAUCGACGGUGAGGCUCUCCGAUGCGGCGGCUCCUUCGGCUCACGUCACGGUUUGAUUUUUUGCUCCAGUCAACCUGUAGAGGAGGGAACGGUGAUCACAAAGGUGGAAAAAUCACGUCGAACAGGAAUCGGAAAGGGCCUCGUUGGAGGCAAAAAUCAAGACACCCCGCGACGGCGCCCCUGGGCUUCGGCAGCAUUUUCUGGCCAAUUAGCUGGUGUUUUCGCUCCGAUUUUGCCAUAGGUGGGUUUAAAAUUUAAUUCUGAGCAAAUGGUAGAAUUUUUACCUCAUUUGGCAGCCGAAAAUUACUUCGGUGCGGCGGCGGGAACUCCCCGGCGGCUGGGUUGUCUUCUCCGGCGAUGGGCUCUGGCGGCUAGGGUUUGGAUUUGGGUGCGGAUGAGAUUAUUUAUAACCAUCCACUUUUAAUCUGAGCCGUCCAUCGCAUUUAAUCUAGACCGUUCGAUCGCGAUUAAAUAGGAAAUGAAUCUAGGUCGUUCAUCGAGAUUCAAUCUGGGCCAUCCAUGCGCAAUUCAAUCUGGGUUGUCCGUGCGCGAUGCAAUCUGGGCCGCCCGUGCGUGUUUUUGAUCUGGGCUAUCAGUGAGCGCAGAAACGGAUCUCAGCCGUUCGAUCGCGCGCACGCGGAUCGCCCACGUGGCUUC
rnacentral:lncRNA from 1 species